AUUGAACGCUGGCGGCAGGCCUAACACAUGCAAGUCGAGCGGUAGAGAGGUGCUUGCACCUCUUGAGAGCGGCGGACGGGUGAGUAAUGCCUAGGAAUCUGCCUGGUAGUGGGGGAUAACGUUCGGAAACGGACGCUAACACCGCAUACGUCCUACGAGAGAAAGCAGGGGACCUUCGGGCCUUGCGCUAUCAGAUGAGCCUAGGUCGGAUUAGCUAGUUGGUGAGGUAAUGGCUCACCAAGGCGACGAUCCGUAACUGGUCUGAGAGGAUGAUCAGUCACACUGGAACUGAGACACGGUCCAGACUCCUACGGGAGGCAGCAGUGGGGAAUAUUGGACAAUGGGCGAAAGCCUGAUCCAGCCAUGCCGCGUGUGUGAAGAAGGUCUUCGGAUUGUAAAGCACUUUAAGUUGGGAGGAAGGGUACUUACCUAAUACGUGAGUAUUUUGACGUUACCGACAGAAUAAGCACCGGCUAACUCUGUGCCAGCCGCCGCAGUAAUAC
rnacentral:rRNA from 1 species